UCCUGAGGCGUGUUCGCUGCUUAGCUGAUUUUGAUUGAAAUCUGGACGGCAGCAAAAGGGGUCAGAGAAAUAGAAGUGCGGGUGGAUUGGGCGGAAGUGAAAAGGGGAAACAUAGCCACUCGUGUUAGGACAAUUUUGUGCAUCAUCUAAGUGGCCUAGAAGGUCAGCCGUAUUCGUUUUUGCAGGAGAACCACCGAGGCUCGUGAUACUCUAGUGACUUGCUGUUAACAUGCAAGAAGAGUAUUAAUUAUGGGAAGGAAAUAAUGGCAUCACAUCUUCGGCAUAUUAAGAUAUAGGGCUAUUUCGAGGAAGCCUGCCUUGAGUUUCAGACGAGUGGACAAGGUGGUAAAGGCAUCAGGACCUUUUCCAGUUGCAGAAGAAACAAAGUAAGGAAUAGCAUCUGAUUGCUUUUUCAUAAAUUGAGAUACUACAAAGAUGAGCAAUAUAGUUAUCUUAAUUUUGUUUGGGAGCUCUGGAUGCAGCAAAAUGUCGAAAUCCCCAGACUACAAUUUCUACAACAAAAAGGCAAUCAAAAGCAAAGGAGAACAGACUCACCUC